rnacentral:rRNA from 1 species
UACGGGGGGGGCAAGCGUUGUUCGGAAUUACUGGGCGUAAAGGGUUCGUAGGUGGCCUGCUAAGUCAGACGUGAAAUCCCUCAGCUUAACUGGGGAACUGCGUCUGAGACUGGUGGGCUUGAGUGCAGGAGAGGAACGCGGAAUUCCAGGUGUAGCGGUGAAAUGCGUAGAUAUCAGGAGGAACACCGGUGGCGAAGGCGGAUCUCUGGGCCUUACCUGACGCUCAGGCGCGAAAGCUAGGGGAGCGAACAGG